GGGAGAGCGCAUGAGGAAGUUGUGUUGUUGUUGUGAUGACGGAGUGGAUGUAGCGGCCGGAGAAUUGUCUGUACUGUAACUUUGUUACUCAGUGUUAGAUUAAUAAAUCCUCAAAGAAAGUAAAGCGGACUUUUAUUCACCAACCCCGGGACGAAGGGAAUUAACCCCAAAGUUUACUUAGCCGACAGUACUUUGGCCCUGGAGCAGACAGCAACGCCUCCCCCUGCAAACUCCGACUACGGUCAGAGACGGACCGGCAGGAAAGGUGAACACAAGGCUAACGAAGUUAAUUGUCAACAUUAAUGUGCCUGUCAUGGUAUGAGGCCAGACGUGAGUUGUGUUCUACAUUCAAGAGGGUUUUUAUUUAGCACUGAACAAUAACAACCAGCAUACGUCUUUUAGCUAAGCUAACUACGGUAGCUUCACGGGGAUAAAAGACCCCUCUUCACUCUAUCAGCGCCACUUUGUUUACGUUUCCGUGUGCCCUAAAUAACUUGGCCCGAUUGAAUCACUUUAUUUACACACUUUGAGUAGAACCGUGCUCGCAGCAGCUAACUUAACUACUUUGUUGUUUAACUUCAUUGUCUAUAAUCUGCCCGCAGCGUGCAGCCGGGCGCAGCUAAAUGACACGUAAUGUAUUGUGCGUCUUCAAUGCUUUUCAAUAUGUUAUAUAUUUAUUGCCUUCACAAUGAGCAUGAAUCUAACAUUAAAUGAUAUGAUUAAUAUGCCCCUCAUUCCAAAGAAAUAAUAUACACACGUCAAGCUCAUUAUGGAGUUGAAACAACAAAUUACUAAACUGUAAACAGUUAAUAUAAGAGAAAAAAAUAUUGUAAUCAAGAUAAAUGUUUUCAAAACGUGUGAUUAACUAGUUAAUUGUCUAUAAUCUGUUGACAGCCAUAAUCGUAUUCUGAUAAUACACGUUGGUGCUCAAAUAUUUUCAGAUGGCCCGUGCAAAGUCAUGCCACCAGUCUGAGGACAUCACUGGGAAUGGCACAUGGGACACGUGGCUUUCAACUCCAGCGAGGUGGGCUUCACCGCGGGCAAUCGUGGCAAAGACCCAAGUCGACUGGACCACAGCGGAAAAUGAUCCUUCCAGAGAAGAAGUUAUUUACUUCUACAACGAAUGGAAGAGUUACAACUUCCAGAUGACAGCUCGCCGCUCAUCCUUCUGGGCAACUUGAACAUCCGACAGAACUUAUGUGACCUACUGCGUUUAUUUUCUCCUUUAGCUCUCACUAACUCUAACUUGCCCCAGCACCUGUUGUGAUUUAUUCUAGCGCUUCCACAAUUGAAUUUUGCUUGGUAUUUCAUCUAACUUGCCCCAGCACCUGUUGUGAUUUAUUCUAGCGCUUCCACAAUUGAAUUUUGCUUGUUAUUUUAUCUAACUUGCCCCAGCACCUGUUGUGAUUAAUUCUCUCUCACGGUGUCAAGUGUGUACCUUGAUCUUUUUUUUGCUCAUUGCAGCCCUUCUCUGCAAGGAGUGCUAACAAUGCAUGGUGCUGUUCAUUAAGCAACUGGGUAAAGAGCUUGUAAUGCCACAUAUGAAAAAGCUCAUAAGCUCAUUUAUAAUAAAAUAAUAUAUAUAAUCUUG